ACUAUUUUGACAGAUAAAUGUGUUGAAUUUAGAAUUCAUUUAUGUGAAUUAUUUUCACAAAUAGUA
rnacentral:tRNA from 1 species